ACCUUGGCUCUAGACUGAUUACUGUGUGUGUGUGUCUGAGUAACAGUCUACAGUCAUGGCUA
rnacentral:pre_miRNA from 1 species